CUUCCGGCGCCGCGGCGGGCCCCGCCGCACAGCUGACGACGCCGCGCAUCUUUUUUUUUGCGGGGGCGAUGGUGCACCGGCGACGAGCGAGGUGCUGGCGACCCCGGAUCCCGGACGGCUUCUAAAAAGUCCUAAACGACGACCUCGAGGUUUAACGUCGUGCGAAAGGAGCAAGCCGGUUGCGUCGCAGGGUGAUGGCCGGCGACGCGGCGUGGUUGAGACGAGCACGCUGCUUCCGAAGACACCGCAUCUCCUGAUCGACGAUUAUUUAGUCGCGGUGUCUACUUGUCGGUCGCCAUGGCGGCUACCAUCACCCGAAUCCCGUCCGAACCGCGAUACGUCGACAGCUUUUUCUACAAGUACGCGCUGUCCGUGGCCGCCGCAUCUGUGGCCGAGACGACGACCUACCCACUGGACAUCGUGAAGACGCGAUUGCAGGUCCAGGGGGAACUGGCCGCCAAGGGUCAAAUAGUCGACCGACGAGGAUUCUUCAAGACUGCUGCAGGCAUUGUGAAGGAAGAAGGCGUGCUGAAGCUGUGGAAGGGGCUGCCGCCAGCCAUCUACCGGCACCUCAUCUACAGCGGCUGCCGGAUGAACUUCUACGAGAGCAUGAGGGACCGGUUCCUGCGGAACAAGGACGGCACACGCGCGCCCCUCUGGAAAUCUGUCCUCGUGGGGGUGGCAGCGGGCGGCAUGGGCCAAUUCCUGGCCAGCCCAACAGACCUGGUCAAAGUGCAGAUGCAGACAGAGGGGCGCCGCGCUCUCAUGGGACUGCCACCCAGGGUAACGGGCACUUGGCAAGCACUCAAGAAGAUUGCCUCAGAAGGUGGGAUCCGGGGCCUCUGGAGAGGGGCUGCUCCAAACGUCUACCGGGCUGCGCUCGUCAACCUCGGCGAUCUGACAACGUACGACACAGGAAAACGGCUACUCCUGCAGCAUACGAACCUCAAGGACAACUAUUUCACUCACUCACUCGCCAGUGGCAUGUCUGGCCUGAUAGCAGCAACCCUGGGGACACCUGCUGACGUGAUCCGCACGAGGGUCAUGAACCAGCCGACAGACAAACAGGGAAGGGGCCUGCUGUACAGCUCUCCGCUAGACUGCCUACUCAAGACUGUGCGGGGCGAGGGAUUCAAGGCUCUCUACAAGGGCUUCUUCCCCAUCUGGGCGCGCAUGGCACCAUGGUCUUUCACGUUUUGGGUCACGUACGAGGAGUUCAGACGUUUCGCCGGCGUCCGCUCAUUCUGAAGACGGCAGGCCCAGCUGACUUCUUCAGACCCACAAUCCCAUGUUCCUGCCUGACUUUGUUUUGCAUUGUUUUUCAUUCCUCUUCGUAUCAGAAAGAGAAAAAGAGCACUGUGGUCAUAGCUCUUCGCUGGGAGCCACUGCCGGCACGAAGCGUGUGCAGUAUUCUACAACCUUACGUUCAUUUCGCCACCCCUCGGUGCACUUGCUAGAGGCCAUGCAACCCCAUCACAUUCUAUUUAGUUAUUGUUGUUCUCGUAGUUGUUAUUGUUACUGUUGUUUUGGAUGCGUAUGGGAGUUUGCGGAUGACAGCUUGAUUGGGUCAGGUGUGGCUUGUAGAGCAGAGGAUGCGUUUGUCCGAUAUCACGCAAGCUCGGCUGCGUGCGUACAGCGCAGCUGUGAUGCCAGGUGGUACUUGUGCGAGUGAUGUAGCCGUUUACUCUAAACAAUUGUCACGUUGCGUCACAAUUGCGUUGCAACGGUCACGAUAGAUCAUUUUCGUUGGCCAGUAGCCAUUUUUACUAUGAUGUUCAGGAAGCAUUCAGGGCGUUGUGGCAAUCGAUUCUUGGAGAUGUUUAUGAUAUUUUUGCUUCACUGUGACGUUGAACGGAUGCGGUUGCUGCCUCAGGCCUUUAUUUUUCUACUUGAGGAAUGAUCAUUGAGUGGUAUACAAGCUCUGCAACACCUGUUUCUUGCCUAAAGUUAGGCGGCUGUGCAAUGCUUGAUGGCUGGUAACAUUGAAAAGGCCUUGUGUUGAUGGGUUGGGAUUAGCGAGUUUUCUUACAUUUAAUUGUGUACAUUGUGUGUUUUGUUCCUUUAGUGCUGUAUUCCUUGCUUGUGAGGCUUGCUUUUUUUUUUAGAUUGCUUUUUGCUCAAGUUUCCUGUGGUAGUCGGAGUUUUUCGUGGCAUUUUGCAUUGCAUGCAACUCAGCGUCGUAAAAUGUUUCCCUUCCGCCUGAUUAUGAGGAGUUCACUGUCCACUUAAGGAGUAUUAUUUGAUGCCAAAAUAUCAAACUUGUCAGACUGGAAACAGUCAUUAUCAUACAGUGUAUGCAGAGACGAAAAGAGGGGUAUACGCGUGCGCUUCAAAUGAG
rnacentral:misc_RNA from 1 species